rnacentral:lncRNA from 1 species
CAAAUCACAAAUAGACCUCGAACUCGACUAUCGAAAACCCAAAGAUGAACCCACUAUUUUCUCAAUAUUUUUUAGGAUGAUUUUGACUGAUUUGGCGCGUUCCAGGCAAAAACUCUAUUGUCGGAACAAUAACAUCGGUGGCGGCGAAAUAGUUGGGCACUGGUGUCAUGAUUUUAGGGGGUUUGAAGUUGGUUUUGAUUGGAUUUUGGAGAGAAGUGGACGGUCUCUACGA